AAAUAAGAAGCGAAAUAUUGCAAUCAGUUUCGACCUGAAAUCUUGGCAUAUUAAAUGCCCUUAUUUA
rnacentral:tRNA from 1 species